UUGCUCGAUCCUGAAGUAUUUCACAAGAGGCCUAUCACAAGAGCACAAGGAAGUUCACAGUGAAGUAAGAAGAUGCUCAGCCCUGUAGUCCUGUCCCAGCACCACGGGCUGCAUCUGGGAUGGGCCACGGGUGCCUCACCAGCCCCUUGCAAGCCUGGAUUCAGGGAAAGGGGAGAGAAACGAAUAUGUCUCCAUGGUGGGAAAAUCUGAGAGAGAGAAGAUGGAGUAUUAGAAACUCUCUCCCUCGGAAAUAGUGGGAAAAGUCAGAUUCUCGCUGUCUCCAUGUGUGCAGUUCUUUCUGGCUCUAAAACACACUGUCUCCCGACUCUGCUUUCACGUCCCUCAGGCCACCUACAAGCUCUGGCGUUCCCUCCACUGCUAACACGGAGCACUUCCACUCUGUAAUGGAGGAGUUCCCCCUGUGUAGAGCUCUGUGUGGGGUCUGUAAAAACACAGCCCUAAGGUUUAGUUUACAACCAACGAUGUUCAAUACACAUUUCAAUACCUUUGGAUCACCGCAAGGGGCAGUGCCGAGUGCAUGGAUGGUGGUGCUCACCCAUCACUACCAUCUCCAGAACUUCUUCAUCCUCCCAAACUGAAACUCUGAACUUAGUAAGCGCUGGCUCCCCAUCCUUCUGCCCGGCUCACUGACUCCCUGUCUCCAUGAAUUUGACCAUUUUAGGGGCCUCACAUGAGUGGAACAAUAGAAGACAGACAUCAGUGGUCAUCCACGAUGCAGCGUUUGUCAUAAUUUCCUUCUUUUGGGGGGUUGGCGAAGGUUCCCCUGCACAGGUGCACCACACUCGGCUUAUCCACCCACCCAGAGGAUAUUUCGGCUUCUGCCUCUCACCUGUUGGUGUGAAUGCCCCUAUGAGCAUGGGUGACAACGUUCACCUGUACUGUUUACAUUCCCAUGGGCAGGGAGUAAGAGCUUUAAGGUUUUAGCCUACAUCUCCGUCCCCAUCUCUUGUCAGCAGGCUCACCCUGGAAGAGAAAUCUGAUGUUACUUGAAGCAGCAGACCAUGAGGAUUUCUUUUGUAGUCUCCUUCGUGCAAAUCCUUAGCGACCCUGGAAUGGCCGAUUGCACCGCGUCUUGUUCCUGGAGCGCUGUUGGAGGGAAAUACAGUGAGGUUUUGAAACAGCUGGAACUCCUUCAGACCAAUUCCACUCACAUCCUCAUUUUCACAUUUGCACAGAAAGGGCUUCCCGAUACGUGGAGCACACUACAAAUGACAUGUUUAAACUACACGUAGCCUGGAGCACACAUGGGCUCCUGGAAGACAUCUACAUGUCUUAGACAAGAGAGCAGGCACUGAGAAGUCUCUACCCUGUACACACACACACACACACACACACACACACACACACACACACCAGCAGGAGAUCUUUAAUACUCUCGUCAUCAUGAUUGGCAUUUUCUGAUUCCAAUGGCCAGUGAUCUGCCCAAAGCCACCUGCACUUGAAUGAGUUCAGCAGCGGGGCUCUUGUCCAUGCUUGGAAGUGAGCAGCUGGCAGAACGAUUCUCCUGACAGAGAGCCAAGUCGUAUUUGCAGGUUGGGUGCCUGAUUUGAGGAGAACAUUCAGAUCAAAGCAUUGGAUGUAAACACGGUAUCAUAAAUGCGGAACCAUAGCAUCUAAAGAGAGCUUCCAUGGCUCUCACUGUUACCAGGGAUGCUCUAUGUCUCUGGUGCCGAUGUGGCAUAAUGAUCAUGCAGUCUCUCUGCAAGAAAGGCCACCAUGGACAGGGAGACAAUUUACUCUAAUAAGAAACUCCGGAGCAGAACAGAGGGAGUGGGUGAUGGUGAUCAUGCCCUGAUAGGUAGCUGUGAACGAUUACCUAAAUUGGUGUCAAGAGCGUAAACUUGGGAUAUGCAUCGUGAACCUCUGUGUGAAACUGGAGAAGUGCCCAUCUCUGAUGGUUUGAAUGAAAACGUCCCCCAAAGGCUCAUCUGUUUAAAUACUUGGUCCUUGGAUGUUGGAACUUUUGGGGAAGGAUGAGGAGGCCUGGUUGGAGAAGGUGUGUCACCGGGGGCAGGCCUUGAGGUUUCAAGAGACUCACACCAGUGUGCUCCUUCCCCUGCCUUCUGCUUGUGGAUCAAAGUGUAAGCCCUCAGCUCCUGUUUCAACCACUUAUUGCUAAGACUGCACUCCAUCAUCAUAGACUAAGCCUCUGGAACCACAAGUUCACUUACCUGCUUGCCUUUAUAAGUUGCCUUGGUCAUGGUGUCUUAUCAUAGCAAUAAAAACUCUAACUAAUAGAAAA